rnacentral:rRNA from 1 species
GAAUUCACUAGUGAUUAGUGUUAGAUCAUGGCUCAGAACGAACGCUAUCGUAUGCUUAACACAGCAAGUCGAACGGAUUUAUUUAGAGCUGGCUUUAAAUAAAUUAGUGGCAGAGAGUAACACGUGGGAAUCUGCCCAUCAGUACGGAAUAACAUUUAGAAAUAAUUGCUAAUACCGUAUAUUCUCUUUGGAGGAAAGAUUUAUCGCUGAUGGAUGAGCCCGCGCCAGAUUAGGUAGUUGGUAGGGUAAUGGCCUACCAAGCCAAUGAUCUGUAGCUGGUUUGAGAGAAUGAUCAGCCACACUGGGACUGAGACACGGCCCAGACUCCUACGGGAGGCAGCAGUGGGGAAUAUUGGACAAUGGGCGAAAGCCUGAUCCAGCAAUACCGAGUGGGUGUGAAGGCCAUAGGGUUGAAGCCCUUUCAGCAGGGAAGAUAAUAGCGGUACCUGACCAAGCCCCGGCUAACCCGUGAGCAGCCGCUAAUCGAAUUCCCGCGGCC